CCAUCUAAAAUCUUUAUUUUACAGAUUUUAUAAUUCGAAACAUAAAAAGCAAACAAAUCUAAUAUCAUUUUCUAAUUCAAUAGCAGCAACAUAAUUCAACCCCAACGAUUUCCACAACAUAAACUCAACAAUAUAAUACAACAACAAUGGUAAUUGCAACAAUAUAAUUAAAGACAAAAAAGACCAUGGAUGAGGAUGAGACAAUCUAAUUCCUUGUUCGUGUUCAUCCAUGCAUUUCUUCGUAUAUUCUCUGUCGAAUAACAUGAACAUGCCUCACCAACAUAGCGUCAAACUCGAUUGGUAUUUUUAAACUAUACUAACUAUAGAAAACAUGGUCCUUAUGCAUAAAUUGUUCGAAAACUUACAUUUAGACCAUUCAAAUAUGGUGAUUUUUUUUUUCAUGCAUACUUCAUACAUCCAAACUGAUGUUAGGGGUUCAAAGAUCCAUCCAUGGACAUUAUGUUUCAUCUGCAUAUGAUUCUAACCAAGAGUGUGAAAGAUGUACUAGGUCAGUGUAGAACAGUUAAUUAAAGUUCAAUAUUUGAUCAUUCUUUUUUUUUAAACUUGGUAUCUAGUUUAAGGAACUAUUAUUAAUUUGAGGGUUCAAUUUUAUUGUCCACUAGCGGAAGUUCUAUUUAAAGUAAAAACAAAACUUUAUAUAGACUAGUUCAUGAAAAUUGACAUCAGAAAAUCAAACCCAAGAUCUCAACAUUUUUUUUUGAAUUGGUUCUUUAAUUUUUUCUUUUUUUCUUUCUCAAAUUGAUCUUUUGUGUUAGAUUAUUGCACUGUUAGUCUUAAUAAAUUUUGUUAAAAGAAAACACACAUAACAUUUUAAUAUUAUUUUGAAAUAAAUUUAAAUUUUGUAUACAUAGUAGUGAGUAGUGACACAUUCCAAAUUAUUAUUUAAAAAUUUACCUUGGUUAUUCAGUUUUGGCUUUUGGGAUGAGUAUCAAACUAAAACAAUUAAUAUAAACAGAUUCUAAUGAAUGGACCGAACCAACAAUUAGUCGUGACUUGUGAUCUUUCAUUUAUGCAAAGGUAUUAGUGAUUACAUUUCCAUGAAGCCAUACAAAGUUUUAGAAGACAUACAAUUUAUUAAUAUAUUUUUUAAAAGAGUAUAUAGUAUAGUGUUAGCAUUUCAUGGUUUAGUUAAAUAUUGCUCCUGGCCUUUCUAAUGCUCAUUCUAUUCUCUUGAAGCACAAAAACAUGAAAACUCUUCUAACCUUAAUCUUCACAUUCUCCAUCAUCAUCAUCAUCAUCGUUGCCUUCACACAUGCAACACCAACAUUGAUCAUUCGCACUCAACCUCAAAUGAACCAAUCAUCCAUGCUUAUUCAUACCCAACAACAAGUAAAUCAAUUUUCAAUGUCCCUUUUCCCUGUAAAGUUUAGUCACUGGAUGAAUGAUUUAUUAUUAAUUUCAUAUUUUAAUUAAUGCAUCUUAAAUAAAAGGUUAUAUAUGCAUGUUUCAGAAUGAGACUAAACGGAGUGGUAACUGCGAUUACAAGGUGACCAUAGCAACAAGCUGCAAAUCUCCUUUAUCUACAAAAGAUGAAAUCAGUAUUUUAUUUGGAGAUGCUGAUGGCUCUGAGGUUCCUUUCUAUACCACAAACAAUUAAUCAUAUAUCUAUACAUGUUUAUGUUGCUCCUUAAUUUUUGUUGUGCAAAUAAUAUUACACCCUAAUUAUUAAUAUUUGUUAGUUGCCAACAAAAAAAUUAUAUAUCUAUACAUAUAAUAAUUGCAGGUUUAUGUACCAAGAUUGGACGAUCCUGAUUCUGGGACGACGUUCGAGCAAUGCACCACGAUGGAUUUUGAGAUAUUGGGACCAUGUAUUGGUAAAAUAUGCAAAAUGUAUCUAUUUAGGAACGGCACGGAUGGUUGGAUACCAGAGACUGUCAUAGCA
rnacentral:lncRNA from 1 species